ensembl:lncRNA
AUAAUAUAAUAUAAUAUAAUAUAAUAUAAUAUAAUAUAAUAUAAUAUAAUAUAAUAUAAUAUAAUAUAAUUAAUUUUCACAGCAAUAAAGUAAAUCAUAAGUGUCUAUUUUAUUAUCAUUUGUAUUAUUAUAUUAUAAAUAGUUCAAGUUUUGUUAACGGUGUGCUGGAUCUGUGGUCCUGCAGAGAUGUGAAGAGCUCCAGUGGAGAAAUCUCUCCGUAUGAUAACAACUCUCCGGUGCUCUCCGAGUGGUUUCAUCCAUCAGGACUGGAGCAUCAGAGUCCCACGAACCUCCAGCAUGCUCUCGAGAGGAACAACACUGUGAACUUCUGCCUCUCACCCUCAGAAGCCGGCGCCGGGGAAACCAUACAUGAUAAGGCUCGUAUCUGGCGAACACGACACGCUCUUCUGUCAGGACUUCAUGACAAACUCCUCACAGGUUCGGAUGGACACCUGUAUAGACACGCCUCUUCUGAUGUUUUCUACGAUGACGAUAACGAUAUGAAACCUGUGCACGAGACGCAAACGUCCCAUACGAACGUCUUCGCUGAAGGUAAAGCGCACCUGCAGGUCACGAGUGCAGACGGCAGUCCUCUGAGCUCCCCACGCCAUCACAUGCAUCCUAUCGAAUCGAGCCGCUGGACUGCAUUUCACCAGUCAGAGGCGAUGGCACUUCCUGCCAAACCAGACAACAGACUUCCUGCCGUGUCCGUGCAGCCGCGUGUCACUUCCUGUCAGGGCGCGGCGUCACACGUGCCAUCCAAGAGCUUCGGAGUGGAGCAGCAUCCAGACUGGCCCACAGAGAAGUGGCAAAUAUGGCAACUCCUGUCAUCAGACAGCAUAGACACACUUCCAGAGACUAUGGUGUGAAACACGCAGAUUAAAGGGACAGUUCACCCAAAAAUUAACUUACUGUCAUCAAAGGAAGAUAUUUGAAGGACACCAUUGGCUUUCAUUGAAUGAGACAUUUUUCCAGAUAUUUUCUUUUAUUAAAGACAUACAGGUUUGGAAUGAGUGAAGGAUGACAGAAUGAUCAUUUUUGGGUGAACUGUCCCUUUAAGAACCUUUUAAUUUGAGAGUCAAUUUUUAAUUGAAUUGGAUGCAACACACAGAAUGUUGAAUUAGAAUUUGAAUUGGAAAGAGAGGAAGCACCACAAAAUGUUAGCGCAUUGUUUACAUAUAGUUUAAUAAAAAAUAAUUAUUGAUAUUAAAAUUUUGGAUGAAUAUUUUAAUGUUUCACAUUUAAUUUUAUUUAUCUAGGAUUCAUUAAAUUCAUCAAAAGUGACAGUUAAGACAUUUAUAAUGUUACAAAAAAAUUUUAUAUUUCAAGAAAAUGCUGCUCUUUCGAACUUUCAUCUGUGAACUUUCAUCAGGUUCAUCUGUGAAUCCUGAAAAAUGAAAUUUUUCCACAGUUAUAUCACAGUUUCACAGUUUAUCACAGUUUCUACAAAAAUAUAAAAAUCUUUUCAGAAUUAAUAAUAAUCAGAAAUGUUUCUUGAGCAGCAAAUCAGCAUAUUUUCAUGAUUUCUGAAGAUCAUGUGACUCUGAAGACUGGAGUAAUGAUGCUGAAAAUACAGCUGUGCAUCACAGAAAUAAAUUACAGUUUAACAGAGAUUCAUACUGAAAACAGCUAUUAUAAAAUGUAAUAAUAUUUCACAUUUUUACUGUAUUUUUGAUCAAAUAAAUGCAGCCCUGGUGACCAGAAGAGACUUUAUACCGAAAAAUUAAAUGCACUAACUACUCUUUUAGCAGUUAUAUGUAUAAUUUUAACUCUAAUUCCAUAGAUUGGAAAUCAAAUUGUAAUUCUGCAUGCUGUGUGUUGUGGCCAUGACAGAUUAUGAACUGAAAAUAAGCUUAAAUUCUGAAUUCACUUCAGCCUCAGCUGAAGCUCAAUGAAUUUCUAUAUAGAAUAUAUAAAAUAACUGCAUUUCAGUUCAGUUCCAUUCAGUAGUUUGGUCAUUUCCAAAGACUCUCAUUUUUUUUGUUUGUGAUUUUAAACACAGCAAACAUUUGCGCUUUGGAGAUUUAAAGAUUUAUUUAGCUUUAUCUGUUAAUAAUGCCUCAUAUUUCCAGCUUUAUCCUUCUUUUAUUCAUCAGUUGAUUUUAUCACUGAUGAUGUUUUAGGAAGUAUUUGACUUCCUGUCGUCACUUCAUCAUCACUUCAUAAGGUAACGAGCAUUUCAGAUUAAUAACAGCGCUGCAAACAUACAGAAUGUCAUAUUUACGAAAUCCAGUGUGUUUAUUUAUUAAUGUUAUUUAUUAAAUUAGCCACUAGUUUGUUACCACUGUGUAUAAUCACCACAGAAUGAUUUAUUUCAGAGUUAGUUUGUUGCCUCAGUAUUGCUUUAUCAGCAUUAAAUCAAAUCAAAUAAAUCAAAAUAAUUUUUAUCUUCACCAUAUUCAGAUAUUAAAGUCAAAAUGACUCUUAAUUCACGUUCCUGGUUCUAUUACCUGGGAUUCAGUAACAGAAACAGAAACGUGUUUAUCUUUAUAUCUUUUUUUUUAAUGUAAUAAUUUGCUCUGCCUUUGAAAAAAAUGCUAUUUUUUUUGACUGAAGUUGCUGUAAAUUUCCUCAUCCUCAGGUCAUCAAAGCUGUAGAUCAUAAUCUAUGACAAUCCACAAGUAAUCCACAGCACUCCAGUCCAUCAGUUAACAUCUGGAGAAGACACAAGCUGAAACAAAUCCAGCAUUAGAUUACUUGUGGAUUAUUGUGAUGUUUUUAUCAGCUGUUUGGACUCUCAUUCUGACGGCACCCAUUCACUGCAGAGCAUCCAUUGCUGAGACACUGAUGCAAUGCUACAUUUCUCCAAAUCUGACGAAGACACAAACUCAUCCUGAUCUUUGAUGACCUGAGAGUGAGCAUUUUUUCAGCUAAAUAUCACUUUUCAGUUGAACUAUUCCUUUAAAUUAUAACCACAUAAAGAACAAAGCAAUCACGUCCUGUAUAUGAGUUUAUACAUUACAAAGUGAGUUUAAGUACUUCAUUAUUUUCUCUGUCAGUGUUCUGUUUGAUAUUUGUGAUAUUUGUACAGCCAAGAGCAAUCAUUUUAUAAAACAAAUAUAUAUUUUGAUAAUCAAUGACUUUUAUCCAAAUAGUAGGAGAAAGACCAAAAUACAGAGUAUUUUAAUGAUGCUUAUUGUGUUCCAAAAGUCUCUUUGUUUUCAUCAUGCAGUUCAUACACAAUAGAAUUCGAUGAUACUGUUUCAAGAGCCUUAGAUUGGGUUUUUGGGUUGUGCUUUGUUUGUUUUUUUGCCUGUAGUCAAAUGCAUCUGUGUUCACAAACACAAUAAAGUGAAUGUCUCUCAAAGUCCAUCUGUGCAACAUGAAGAUUUAUUUUUAUUCCACGUUACAGCAUUGUUUUACUGUCAGUGAUAUACUGUUAUAGUUUUUUUUUUUUAACAUUUAGAAUGUCUUUUUUUUAUUUUAUUUAUUUUUCGUUUUAUUUUUUAUUAUUUAUUUAUUUAUUUAUUUAUUGGUAAUUUCUAUUUUUAAAAAACACUUUUAAAAAAAAAAAAACACUUUUUAGUUUUAUUUUAGUACAAGUUAAAUAAGUUAAACUUUUAUUUAAUUUCAGUUUAUUUUAUUUCAAGUAAAGGAAGUGUUUUUUUAUGGUUUUUGUUUUAUUUAUAAUAACCCUGCUGACUUCAGCAGUCAUUUCUGUUCAGAAUGGGGUCAUUGUACUUUAUAUGUACUACAAAUAGAUUGAUGUUUACUGUAAAUAUUGUGUGUGUUCAUGCUUGUCAGUUUCCUUACGCUUUGUAUUUAGUCCAUUGUUUUGGUUUCCCAGAAGCAGCAUGAAAUCACAUUCACAUUCCUCCAAACAGGAAGUGACAAACAGCCGAGUGAACUGAUGAAGUGAAGUGGCCAGCGAGGCUUUUGGCAGAUCUUUGCUCUGUUCUGGGACUUUUGCUUUUGCCACAUUUCAGUAUGUUGAUGAUGUGACCCAUUCAAGUCACACACAUAAAAUAUUAUUUAUAAAUGUAGACAUUUAUAAUUAUGUUUUGACUUUAAAAUGAUAUUGUAAAAGUACUAUAUAAUUUUGUCAAUUAUUAUAUAUAUAUAUAUAUAUUAAUUAAAAGGAAUUAAAAAUAUAUUAUUAUUAUUAAAAAUUCUAAAAUAUAUAUUUAUGGAUGGAAACAUUUAUAGUCAUUUUAUUUAUUUAAUUUUCUGAAUUUAUUUUUGGAAUCGCCCCCUUUUAAUGCAUGAAAAACAGUAGCUUGAAGAUUCUCCCUACACAGCAGUUUUGGUAAGAGAUGAUUAUGUUGUAGUUUUGAUUUAUUUAUUUAUAAUAUUUCAUGGUGCAUGCUUGAUUCACACAUUUACACUGUUUCUUGUAUUUUACAGGGCUUUAUGAAGUAUGGCUACAGAUGAUUGAUUACAAACAUUUAUUAUAUUCUAUAAGGUAAGUUCAUUUUUGUUUACUUUGUUUUUCAUUGAUGAUGUUUACAAUCUUAUUGUCAUUUUGAAAUUGAUCCUAAAUAAAAAUAUAUAUAUAUAUAUAUUUUUUUAUAAAAAAAAAACCUCAGUAUUUUUGUCUUUUUUCCAGUACAAAUAUCCAAGUAUAUCUAAAGAUGCAUUUCCUUGAGAAACAAAACAAACCUGAAAAACUGAAACCUGAAACAUGUAUCAAAAUGUAAUUAAUUUUUGAUUAAAACAAGAAAAAAAAGAAACUGAAGUCUGCCUUAUAAAAUGUUUUUUUUUAAAAAAAGAAAAAAAUAUAUAUGUUAAUUUUUUUCUGUUAUUAGCAGAUAUGUGUUCUUGUUUUAAGCAAAAAGUUAAAAAUAAAUAAAUAAAUAAAUAAAUGUGUACACAUAUUUUGCAGUAAAUCUGUUUGAGUAGUUACUAGAUGAUCCACUAGAUGGAGACACAAGAGUUCAGUUCUAUCACUAACAUUAACAAACCCAUUCAGCAUUUAAAACACUACAGUAAAGCAUGACAUCGUAACAAGAAAACAGUAGUUUAGAUGUGUUGAGUGAUUUAAAAAGUGCAAAUGAAAUGUUUGAGUGUUUUGACUAAAACAUGACAAACCAUAUUGUGGUCUGAGAAAUCCGGACUCNUAUGUAGUUUUGAUUUAGUUCUUUAUAAUAUUUCAUGUUGCACGCUUGAUUCACACAUUUACACUGUUUCUUGUAUUUUACAGGUCUUUAUGAAGUAUGGCUACAGAUGAUUGAUUACAAACAUUUAUUAUAUUCUAUAAAGUAAGUUCAUUUUUGUUUACUUUGUUUUUCAUUGAUUAUGUUUACAAUUUUAUUGUCAUUUUGAAAUUGAUCCUAAAUAAUAUUGUGUGUGUGUGUGUGUGUGUGUGUGUGUGUGUGUGUGUGUGUGUGUGUGUGUGUGUGUGUGUGUGUGUGUGUGUGUGUGUGUGUGUGUGUGUGUGUGUGUGUGUGUGUGUGUGUGUGUGUGUGUGUG